rnacentral:rRNA from 1 species
AUUGAACGCUGGCAGCAGGCCUAACACAUGCAAGUCGAGCGGAUGAGUGGAGCUUGCUCCAUGAUUCAGCGGCGGACGGGUGAGUAAUGCCUAGGAAUCUGCCUGGUAGUGGGGGACAACGUUUCGAAAGGAACGCUAAUACCGCAUACGUCCUACGGGAGAAAGUGGGGGAUCUUCGGACCUCACGCUAUCAGAUGAGCCUAGGUCGGAUUAGCUAGUUGGUGAGGUAAAGGCUCACCAAGGCGACGAUCCGUAACUGGUCUGAGAGGAUGAUCAGUCACACUGGAACUGAGACACGGUCCAGACUCCUACGGGAGGCAGCAGUGGGGAAUAUUGGACAAUGGGCGAAAGCCUGAUCCAGCCAUGCCGCGUGUGUGAAGAAGGUCUUCGGAUUGUAAAGCACUUUAAGUUGGGAGGAAGGGCAGUAAGUUAAUACCUUGCUGUUUUGACGUUACCAACAGAAUAAGCACCGGCUAACUUCGUG